UACGAGAGUGAUGAGUUGCACGCCUCAGUUGGGGUGUGGUGCAGUGGCAUCGACACUCCAAUCUGACACAACCUGAUGAGACACACUGUGCACAGGGGCCAUCUGACUCAAG